CAAAGGAAUUGACGGGGCCCGCACAAGCGGUGGAGCAUGUGGUUUAAUUCGAAGCAACGCGAAGAACCUUACCAGGUCUUGACAUCCCCUGACAACCCGAGAGAUCGGGCGUUCCCCUUCGGGGGACAGGGUGACAGGUGGUGCAUGGUUGUCGUCAGCUCGUGUCGUGAGAUGUUGGGUUAAGUCCCGCAACGAGCGCAACCCUCGACCUUAGUUGCCAGCAUUCAGUUGGGCACUCUAAGGUGACUGCCGGCUAAAAGUCGGAGGAAGUGGGGAUGACGUCAAAUCAUCAUGCCCCUUAUGACCUGGGCUACACACGUGCUACGAUGGGCGGUACAAAGGGUCGCGAACCCGCGAGGGGGAGCCAAUCCCAAAAAGCCGCUCUCAGUUCGGAUUGCAGGCUGCAACUCGCCUGCAUGAAGUCGGAAUCGCUAGUAAUCGCAGGUCAGCAUACUGCGGUGAAUACGUUCCCGGGCCUU
rnacentral:rRNA from 1 species